CAUGAAUAUUCCAUGACAUCGUAACAGCUUGGCUUCGUUUGCCCUUUAUUUUAUCUUAACACAGUAUAGUGUGUUAACAUAAAAUAAAGGGCAAACGAAGCCAAGCUGUUACGAUGUCAUGGAAUGUUCAUG